GAUGAACGCUGGCGGCGUGCUUAACACAUGCAAGUCGAACGGAAAGGCCCAAGCUUGCUUGGGUACUCGAGUGGCGAACGGGUGAGUAACACGUGGGUGAUCUGCCCUGCACUUCGGGAUAAGCCUUGGAAACUGGGUCUAAUACCGGAUAGGACCACAUUUUGGAUGGUGUGGUGGAAAGUUUUUCGGUGUGGGAUGAGCUCGCGGCCUAUCAGCUUGUUGGUGGGGUAAUGGCCUACCAAGGCGUCGACGGGUAGCCGGCCUGAGAGGGUGUACGGCCACAUUGGGACUGAGAUGCGGCCCAGACUCCUACGGGAGGCUGCAGUGGGGAAUAUUGCACAAUGGGCGCAAGCCUGAUGCAGCGACGCCGCGUGGGGGAUGACGGCCUUCGGGUUGUAAACUCCUUUCGCUAGGGACGAAGCGUUAUGUGACGGUACCUGGAGAAGAAGCACCGGCUAACUACGUG
rnacentral:rRNA from 1 species